UUUGUCAGAGGAAUGGCUGUGAAUGGAUGCCUGGAAGGACCAUCCUCUAAUUUUCUCAGUUGCCUGUUCAUUGUGGCAUUGGUUGGCAGUGAAUCUACUCAUCCUUUAUGUCUUGAGCAACCAGCCACCCAGAGAUGUGGUCUUGCUAUGUUGCCCAAGCUGAUCUUCAACUCCUGGCCUCAAGGGAUCCUCCCGCUUCAGCCUCCCAAAGCAUUGGGCUUACAGUCACAGCAGGAUUUCCAAGCUCCUGGAGAUUGCCUGUCCAGUGGCAGCAACACCAAAGACUUAGACUGUAAAGAAAGCCUCUAAAAUUCCCAGUGUUCCUGGAUUUAAAUAACACAUCCAGAGUUCUUCCCAGUCACAACUCCAGCUGGAUUUUAGAGGCACAAAGAGCUGAAUGUGAUCCUGGUAAAUCUACCCCCGACCCAUCACAAUAUCCACCUGCUUUAUAAACUGCCUAACAGAACAAUUCCAAGAGAUUAUAAUAACACGCUACAAACUGCUUAAAAGAACAAUCCCAAGAGGCUAUAAUGAGACCUUUUUUUAAAAAAAUAGAAAUAACCCCAUCAUACCUCAUUUCCCUAUUUGCAUCUUUUAAAGUCCAUUGUAUAGAAUUGUAACACCAUCAUGCUUUGCUCUAAUAUAGCCUAAUUUCCCAUUCCUUUUUUUUUUUUUUUUUUUGAGACGGAGUCUUGCUCUGUCACCCAUGCUGGAGUGCAGUGGUGCGAUCUUGUCUCACUGCAAACUCUGCCUCCCGGAUUCAAGCAAUUCUCCUGCCUCAGCCUCCCAAGUAGCUGGGAUUACAGGCAUGAGCCACCACACCCAGCUAAUUUUUGUGUUUUAGUAGAGACAGGGUUUCACCAUGUUGGCCAGGCUGGUCUCGAACUCCUCACCUCAGGUGAUCUGCCUGGCUCGACCUCCCAAGGUGCUGGGAUUACAGGCAUGAGCCCCUGUGCCCAGGCUCCCACUCCUCUUAAUCUGUGUUGACCCUUCCACUGUAUUGUCAUCAGUCAAAUCCCCUAAUCCUUAACACCUUUUCUAAACAUUCCUUUCAUUUUCUUACUCUAACCAAAACCUAACCAUCUCCUAAUAAUAUUGCUUUCCUUGCAAUACUCUCAAAUUGUGUCUGCUUUUAAAAAUUACUCAACCCACUUACCAAAGGAGCCUAGAGAUGAGGUAGGUGUCCUGCUUAUUCCCCACUGCCAAUUCCAGACCUUUUUUCUCCUUUGAAAAUUCUAGUUCCCUUGACCAUAUCAUCCAUUCUCCUUUUUUUUUUUACAGUCGUCUACUGUCUUCCUGGUCUCUCACCCUCAUUGCAGAAGAGCUUAGCAUGCAGUGUCUUGUUUUCCUUUCCACUGCUACUGCUGUCAUUAUUCUUUUUUUUUUAGAUGGAGUCUCGCUCCGUUGCCCAGGCUGGAGUGAGUGCAGUGUCGCGAUCUUGGCUCACUGCAAGCUCCGCCUCCUGGGUUCAAGCAAUUCUCCUGCCUCAGCCUCCCGAGUAGCUAAGACUACAGGUGCCUGCCACCACGCCAGGCUAAUUUUUUGUAUUUUUAGUGGAGACAGAGUUUCACCAUUUUAGCCAGGGUGGUCUAGAUCUCCUGACCUCGUGAUCCGCCUGCCUCGGCCUCCUGAAGUGCUGGGAUUACAGGCAUGAGCCACCGUGACCGGCCAGCUGUCAUUAUUUUUAACAUUAACAAUUCAUCUAUUACCUUAGCUAUGGAUGGUGCUAUGUAAUUUGCCCUGCCUGCUCCUUCACCUUCACAUCCUGCCACUCUCCCCUGUUAAGUCAGAAACUGUGAAGUGUCUUAGAGUUUGUCCUUCUUGCAAGCUAAUAGGUUAGCUUGCCACAGUUUCAUAUACAUAUACUGCCAGAAGACACCAGACUGCUGGGCUGGUGCCAUAAAAGAUUUGCUACUGAAAGCACAAAGCAUUUACAACACCUUGUGUCAUUUCCCCAUGCCCCAUUUCCCGUAAGGCAACAGAUGUUUCCUGUGCAGUGGGUUGCAUCACAGGAGAAGAAUCUUAAAUUUAGAAGCCUCCAAGCUUUUAUCAAAGCUGCUGGUGACCUACCCAUUCCUCCCAUUCAGGAGAGAAAUUAUUCAUUAUCUUGAAAUGUAAGUGAAUUUCCUCUGGGAAGAGGAAGAAGGCCCCUCUAGGUUUAUCACCCUGGAAUGUAACACACUCUGGGGUUUGGGAGGUGGAUAUUAAUAUCAUUAUGCGCUUUCUCACCUACAGAAGACUAGUCUGAACUUGUGGCAGGAACCUAGCCAGCUUGAUUGCCUGCUAAAACAAAAAUAUCAACAUUCUUAAUAGGAUUUAAAUAAGAUCCAGCAUCUCAAAACAGAAUAUUCAAAAUAUCCAUGAUACGGUCCAAAAUUACAAAGCAAACAAACAAAAAAAAAAACAACAAGAAAAUCUCAAUUCAUAUAGGGAAAAAAAAGGACAAUGCUGAGAUAACACAGAUGAUAAAAUUGUCUGAUGAAGGCUUUAAAGCAACUACUAAUAUUUGUUAGGAGUCUAUUCUCCAUUGGUCUCUUGCAUUUCUACAGGUGUUCUAGGCAAAGGCAUUAACAGCUUUUUCUCUGAACUAUCUUUUUUAGCUGUUUGUAUAGCAAACAUCCUUGGAAGAUAGAAUG
rnacentral:lncRNA from 1 species